UUCACUGUCCCUUCACCGAGGACGCCUGGCUUCUGAGGCCACACGCUGAGGACAGAGUGCUGGAGGAAACACUGGUCACAUUCUUCAUGGGGCAAGACACACGAUAAAACAUCUAGGAGCAUGAGUUAAUGCAAUGUCUCAGGUGAAGUUUUUAAAAAGGCUGAUAGACAGCAACUUGGAGGAGGCAGGGAAAUGUGCUGUGUCGGCAGCUCAGCCUGGCUUCUGCUUGGGAAGAAAGGGACCUGGAGAGCAGCAGGGGGGAUGCUGUGAAUAUGUGCUGCUCUGAUUGGUUGAUAAAUAAAGCUGUUUGGCCUAUGGCAAGUCAGGUUAUAGCUAGGCAGGAAACUGAAGAGAGAGACAGGAAGAAGAAAGGCAGAGGGGAAAAUGUCAGCCGCUGCCACCAGAAGAAGCAAGAUGUAAAAGUACUGCUGGUACCUGGGAUGUACAGAGAUGCACAGGACAGAGGGUGGCUACCUGGAAUGGCUCAGUCAGGCGAUGUCAGCAGGAUAGUUGCCAAAUGGCUGAAUGAGUCAUUCAGAAAAUGGACCACGAACAAUGCGAGACCAGUGCCUGGCACAGCAGGGACGGACACAGGCCGCUUUCCUCACUCAGUGCCCAGGUGUCUGCCACAGCAGCCUCAGAGAAGAUGGCCUCUUGGGCUGGGCAGGGCAGAAGGAAGCAGAGCCUGGGUCCCAGAAGCCACCCUGGAGGUGCACGGCCCAACAAGGCCGCUCUUGGCAGGGAGCAGCAAUCACACAGGAGCAGCUCCCAGGACUCAGGAGAGAGGGGGCCAGAGAGACACAGCCUGGCCCCGAAGAGCCUGGUUUUUACCACACCCAGAGGGCUAGGUCAGGCCUUGACCCUGGGCCUCCAGAGCUGUGGGAGCAGCCUGGUGGCCGAGGGAGCUCCUCACACUGGUGGGCAUGAAGGCCAGUCCUCUAGGUCCUGGUGCAUCUGUGGACUCUAAGGGGAGGCAAAGACUGCUCAGCCAACAGCAUGAAGAUAUGAUGCUGGCCGCCACAGAGCAAGAUGCUACAUCAAGCAAAACUUGAAAACUUUCAGUAGAAAUUAAGAGAUCUUUGCUUUAAUAGAAGGAAUUAUUAAAGAAGUAGACAUGUAUACAAGGGUUCUGAUGAAUUUUACUUCUCUAAAAUAAAAGAAUUUUGUGUGCUCA